CGUGACGCUGUUGUUUCUGCUCCCUGCCAGCACUUUGACACAUCUGGCAGGAGAGUUCACUGGAUGAAGUGUUUUCUACCUUAGUGAGAUCUUUUCACGAUGUUGCUUGAAAAAUCCAGGUACCAGCAUGAUGAUUCAGAAACCCUUGAAGAUAUAGUCAUAUUUUCAGCAACAGAUGGAUUUAACACUGCAGAUGGAGUGUUAAGAGUGCAGAUUAUGUGGGUGAGCAGCGAGCCCCAGAGCUAGAGCAAGGAUUGCAGGCAGGGAUGGUUGUCUGGAAGGAGGAUCAGCCAGGACCACCUCUGAGCAUCUCCGUGCAAUGGAUGCUGAAGGUGUUGGCACAGAGCUGACCUGUGCGGCUGCCCAGGCUCCAGCACAUGGAGUGAUACAAAGAACGAGCAUCACGGUGGAUCAGCUUUCCCAGUUGGAUGCAAUCUGGAGAUUCAUCUCCUGUGUGCAUACUGAGAUGUGUGCUGGCAAGUUGCAAUACCACAGAGAAGGGAAGGUCCGGAGCUGCAGUAGGAGUAAGGAACUUAGAAAAUGCAACUGGUGCGGAAGAGCGAACAAGGUCACCGGUGACAAGGCUCUGCUCCAUCUGUGCAGGCACACUCGACCCCAAGGACCUUAACUUCAUGUCAAAGACAAACACUCAGUAUGGCUUGCGAGAAAAUGCUCUUCCCUCAGAUGACUAUAAGAAGCUCAGUCCUGGGAUUGAUAUGACUGCAGAGAAAUGAGGACAAAUUCUGGCUCUGAAGGCAGAUCUAGUCUCGCACAGGUUCCCACCAUGUCCACACUCUCGUGUCAGUGAAAUAGGGAGGCUGCCGGGGCUCCCCAGGACCAGACUCUGCGUCCACCCAGCUCUGCUACCUCUGUACUGAUGCUGCUGUACAUGCAUGAUGACACAGAAAGCCUAGAGGAUAGUUUUACCAUGCAGCUGACAGAUGGCAAGUGCACAGUCCAAGGGACACUUUACAUCUACAUCAUGCCAGUCAACGAUGAAAUCCCUCAUCU